rnacentral:rRNA from 1 species
UACGUAGGGUGCAAGCGUGUCCGGAAUUAUUGGGCGUAAAGAGCUCGUAGGCGGUCUGUCGCGUCUGCUGUGAAAACUCGGGGCUUAAACCCCGGGCCUGCAGUGGGUACGGGCAGACUAGAGUGCGGUAGGGGAGACUGGAAUUCCUGGUGUAGCGGUGAAAUGCGCAGAUAUCAGGAGGAACACCGGUGGCGAAGGCGGGUCUCUGGGCCGUAACUGACGCUGAGGAGCGAAAGCAUGGGGAGCGAACAGG